CCGCUUGCUACGGGGCUUUUUCCCCCGACGCCCAGCUGCACCUCAGCGGCUUUCUUCCAUCACUUGCCAAUCUCUGUAACAGAGAAAGCCUGAGGCUCAGGACCUCUGAAAGGCAGAGCUGGCGCCGGGGAUGGCAUUGGCUUCCCCUAGCCCACGGGGACCGAGAAUGGGGGACGCUUACCGCGGAAAGUUGCAAGAGCCCAUCCUGGAGAGAAAACACUGAUCCCUGAGGGUGAGAGGUGACAAGGCCAGGUCACUUUUGCCGCUGUCUUGGCUGAGCCCUGAGACUGUCGGCUCCCAUUUAGAACCCUCUCUCUCUUUGAACAUACCCCUAACUUUAUUCCAACCCGGAUUUCUUAUUAUGUGCGUGUAUGUGUAUUUAAUAAUGAUAAAGCACUUGUAUGUCAUAUU